UACGUAGGGGGCAAGCGUUGUCCGGAUUUAUUGGGCGUAAAGAGCGUGUAGGCGGCCAGACAGGUCAGCUGUGAAAACUCGAGGCUCAACCUCGAGACGUCGGUUGAAACCGUCUGGCUAGAGUCCGGAAGAGGAGAGUGGAAUUCCCGGUGUAGCGGUGAAAUGCGCAGAUAUCGGGAAGAACACCCGUGGCGAAGGCGGCUCUCUGGGACGGUACUGACGCUGAGGCGCGAAAGCCAGGGGAGCAAACGGG
rnacentral:rRNA from 1 species